AGUGAACGCUGGCGGUAGGCCUAACACAUGCAAGUCGAACGGCAGCACAGUAAGAGCUUGCUCUUACGGGUGGCGAGUGGCGGACGGGUGAGGAAUACAUCGGAAUCUACUUUUUCGUGGGGGAUAACGUAGGGAAACUUACGCUAAUACCGCAUACGACCUACGGGUGAAAGCAGGGGAUCUUCGGACCUUGCGCGAUUGAAUGAGCCGAUGUCGGAUUAGCUAGUUGGCGGGGUAAAGGCCCACCAAGGCGACGAUCCGUAGCUGGUCUGAGAGGAAGAUUCGCCACACUGGCACUGAGACACGGUCCAGACUCCUACGGUAGGCAGCAGUGGGGAAUAUUGGACAAUGGGCGCAAGCCUGAUCCAGCCAUACCGCGUGGGUGAAGAAGGCCUUCGGGUUGUAAAGCCCUUUUGUUGGGAAAGAAAAGCAGCAGGUUAAUCCCCCGCUGUUCUGACGGUACCCAAAGAAUAAGCACCGGCUAACUUCGUG
rnacentral:rRNA from 1 species